UGUUGAUGAUAAUAUUUUAUUAUCAAUAUAGAAGAUUAUUGAAAUGUUGUAAAUCAUGAUGAUUAGGAAUUGAUAAUGAUUGUCAAAGAAGUAGGGAUAGUUGAAAAUAUAAUAUCGAUGUUGAUGAUAAUAUUUUAUAAGCAAUAUAGAAUAUUUUUGGAAUGUUAUUGAUUCUUAUGAUGACGUGAUAAUGAUUAUCAAAGAAAUAAGGAUAGUUGAAAAUACAUUAUUGGUGUUGAUGAUAAUAUUUUAUUAUCAAUAUAGAAGAUUAUUGAAAUGUUGUUGAUUUUAAUGAUGAGGAGGGGGUAAUUAUUAUAAAAGAUAUAGGGAUUGUUCAAAAUUUAUUAUUGGUUUUGAUGAUAAUAUUCUUAUAUCUAUAUAAAACCUUAUUGAAAUUUUGUUGAUUUGAUUAGGAAGUUAUUAUUGUCAGAGAAAUAGGGAAAGUUCAAAAACAUUAUAUUAUCAGUGUUGAUGAUAAUAUUUUAUUAUCAAUAUAAAAAAUUAUUGAAAUGUUCUAGAUUAUAAUAUUGAGGUGAUAGUGAUUGCAAAGAAAUUUGGAUAGUUGCAAAUAUAUAAUCCGUGUUGAUGAUAAUAUUUUAUUAACAAUAUAGAAGAUUAUUGAAAUGUUGUAGAUUAUAAUGAGGAGGGGAUAAUGAUUGUCAAAGAAAUAGGGAUAGUUGAAAAUAUAUAAUCUGUGUUGAUGAUAAUAUUUUAUUAACAAUAUAGAAGAUUAUUGAAAUGUUUAGGAAAUAGAUAUCAAUUCUGAGUGCAUUGUUGUAGAAUAAUGCACGGUUUGAGUUCAAAUGCGUAGAAAUAUAAUCACGAAGGCCGAUAGACCUGAGUGAUUAAUUACAAAGCAUUUGAACGAAAAACGUGCAUUAUUAAACAAUAAUGCACGAAGAAUUAAUAUCUAUUUCCAUUCUAACACAUCAAGAAAAAAUGUAAUUAUUAUUAUAAAGUUGGACUUUAUGUUUAGUGGUUAAAUUUGUUUUCGCCUCAGAGUUUCCAAUAGAAACGUUCUUUAAAGGCUGUUCCAGUGGGUUGAUAAAAUCUGUCGUUAAAUGUACCGUGUGUAGAAACAUUUUGAGAAUAACGAAUUUUGAAAACGUUGAUAAAACUUUGUUUGUUAAUUUUAUUUCACUCUACAAUUUUUCAAGGGAAAUACAAAUUAUUAAAAGUGAAAUAAAUGUAAAACUUAAAUCGUUUGUGACAUUAAAAUAGCGUACUUGAUUUGAUUGUUUUGCACGUGUUGUUUGGCGCUACCUUGUGACGUCACGUAAACAACACUUUAAACGCCUGUACAUCGUUAACGACUGAAUUAAAGAUAUUGGUGAUCGGAUUCAUUUUCUUAGUUAGACCAUUUGCUUUCAUUCUAGAUAGCUUUCACAACAAAAUUCUACAAAAAAUGUUUUUAUUUAUCAGAUUUUUUUAACAAAAUGGCACCCUCAAUGUGAAAAUACACAGGGAGGUAAUAAGAACGGCGAGUGCAUUGUUGUAGUAUAAUGCACGCUUCGGGCCUUCUUUGCUUAUAUAGAAAAAAAUCCGAUAGUGUUAGAAUGUUGAAAUAAUUAUUAUCAGUGUUGAUGAUAAUAUUUUAUUAUCAAUAUAGAAGAUUAUUGAAAUGAUGUAAAUCAUGAUGAUUAGGAAUUGAUAAUGAUUGUCAAAGAAAUAGGGGUAGUUGAAAAUAAUAAUAAUUGGUGUUGAUGAUAAUAUUUUUAUUAUCAGUAAAGUAGAUUAUUGAAAUGUUGUUGAUUAAGGUGAUGAGGAGGAGAUAAUGAUUGUCAUAGAAAAAGGGAUAGUUGAAAAUAUAUUAUUGUUGUUGAUGAUAAUAUUUUGUUAUCAAUAUAGAAGAUUAUUGAAAUGUUGUAGAUUAAAAUAUUGAGGUGAUAAUGAUUGUCAAAGAAAUUGGGAUAGUUGAAAAUGUAUUAUCAGUGUUGAUGCUAAUAUCAUAUUAACAAUAUACAAGAUUAUUGAAAUGUUGUUGAUUUUAAUAGGGAGGAGGAAAUAAUUAUUGUCAAACAAAUAGCGAUAGUUGAAACUAUAAUAUCGGUGUUGAUGAUAAUAUUUUAUUAGCAAUAUAGAAAAUUACUGGAAUGUUGUUGAUUAUGGUGAUGAAGAGGGGAUAAUGAUUGUCAAAGAAAUAGGGAUAGUUGAAACUAUAUUAUUGGUGUUGAUGAUAAUAUUUUAUUAUCAAUAUAGCAGAUUAUUGAAAUGUUGUAAAUUAUAAUUUUGAGGUGAUAUGAUUGUCAAAGAAAUUCGGAUAGUUGCAAAAUGUAUUAUCGGUGUUGAUGAUAAUAUUAUAUUAACAAUAUAGAAGAUUAUUGAAAUGUUGUUGAUUUUAAUAGGGAGGAGGAAAUAAUUAUUGUCAAACAAAUAGCGAUAGUUGAAACUAUAAUAUCGGUGUUGAUGAUAAUAUUUUAUUAGCAAUAUAGAAAAUUACUGGAAUGUUGUUGAUUAUGGUGAUGAAGAGGGGAUAAUGAUUGUCAAAGAAAUAGGGAUAGUUGAAACUAUAUUAUUGGUGUUGAUGAUAAUAUUUUAUUAUCAAUAUAGCAGAUUAUUGAAAUGUUGUAAAUUAUAAUUUUGAGGUGAUAUGAUUGUCAAAGAAAUUCGGAUAGUUGCAAAAUGUAUUAUCGGUGUUGAUGAUAAUAUUAUAUUAACAAUAUAGAAGAUUAUUGAAAUGUUGUUGAUUUUAAUAGGGAGGAGGAAAUAAUUAUUGUCAAACAAAUAGCGAUAGUUGAAACUAUAAUAUCGGUGUUGAUGAUAAUAUUUUAUUAGCAAUAUAGAAAAUUACUGGAAUGUUGUUGAUUAUGGUGAUGAAGAGGGGAUAAUGAUUGUCAAAGAAAUAGGGAUAGUUGAAACUAUAUUAUUGGUGUUGAUGAUAAUAUUUUAUUAUCAAUGUAGCAGAUUAUUGAAAUGUCGUAAAUUAUAAUUUUGAGGUGAUAUGAUUGUCAAAGAAAUUCGGAUAGUUGCAAAAUGUAUUAUCGGUGUUGAUGAAGAUAUUAUAUUAACAAUAUAGAAGAUUAUUGAAAUGUUUUUGAUUAUGGUAAUAUAAUACAGAGUAGUGGCAACAUAUAGGGAUCACUUCUCCGUCGUCUGUCUGUCCAUCCGUCUGUCCGUCCGUCACAAAACUUGUCCGGACUACUCCUCAUAAACUACUGGUGCAAUUUCAUCCAAACUUUACAGAAAUGAUUAGUACCAAGUCUUGUUGUGCAUAUUGUCAGCAUUUUCCGGUUCAAUGAUUUUUGUCAGAGUUAUGGCCCUUUAAUCAUUUUUAUUUUUAAAGUUUGUCCGGACUACUUCUCUUAUACCACUAAUGCAAUUUCAAUAAAACUUUACAGGAUUGAUCUGUAGCUCAAGUCCUUGCGCAUAUUGCACGGGUUUUCCAGGUGAAUGAUAUUUGGCCGAGUAAUUGCCCUUUGAUAAAAAGGUGUUUUUUUCUGUGUGUUGCCAGAUACACAAAAGCUUGUCCGGACUACUCCUCAUAAACUACUGGUGCAAUUUCAUCCAAACUUUACAGGAAUGAUCAGUACCAAGUCUAGUUGUGCAUAUUGUCAGCAUUUUCCGGUUCAAUGAUUUUUGUCAGAGUUAUGGCCCUUUAAUAAGUACCAAGUCUAGUUGUGCACUGUCCGUCUGUCUGUCACAAAACUUGUCCCAACAUAAAAUUGGCCAUCAUGAGGCGACACAUGUGAUCACUGAUCGCUCUUGUUUAUGAAUAAUUAUAUAAGUUUUAAUCAUAUUUAUGAUAAAUGAGAUUCAGGGUUGUGGCAAAAAAAGGGCUUCAAAUGAAGUCAUUAGUCUUACUAAAUUAAGAAACCCUGCAAUGCGGGACACAUUGACAAGUGCAGGUACAUUUAAAAUCUAAAGAAAUAUUAUAACCAAAAUUUUGCCUGAUGCACUGUUGUAAAGCUUGAAUUGUAUUAUUGUUCUGUAUGAAGAUUUUGAGUAACAUGAUUAUUCAACAUAUUUGUAGAUAAAACCUGACGACUGUCCACAAGAAUUUUAAUAGACUUGUUACUAUAAACAAUUUAACUAUGAUUUCAACUUAUUUUCAAUGGCAUGUUACCAAUUAUGAGUUUGCAGCCAUGAGUGGACUGAAGUCAUAAUCAUUAUUGGCCCACUGAAGGUGAGCAGAACUUAAGCAAAUGCAAAAAUGUCAAAUAUGACAUCAUAAUUGACAUUAUCAAAGAAUUAAAAUUUUAUUUUUAAUACAGUUGACUAGGAUUUUGUGAUUUUAACUAAUGUGAUAACACAUAGAUUUACUGAAAACCCUAAAUGAAACAAACAAAAAACACAAAAUGGAUUUGAAUUACUGGAGUCUAUGCAUCUCUUAGCUCCUGUAAGUGAGUUGCUCUUUUUUAUCCUAUGUGUUCCUUUUGUAACAACUGAGGUUACUACUCAAUGUUAGCCAAAAUCAUCUUUCCAGUUUCAGUGCCUUAUAACCUAUAUUGUGUUGGUGCUGACGUAACGUGAUUAUCAUGGCACCAUCCAAACAUCUGUGUAAUAAUCACACACAUGGUAAUAUUUCCAGACUUGCAAUAAUUAUGUGACAGGGAAUUAAUUAAAAUCUCUAAAAUUUUACAUGCACUGUUCCAAAUUCACCAGGUUAUUUUAUUGUUACAGAUGCUGUUGAGGUAGUUUUGGCAAUACCUGGAAAAAUGCUUCAGAAGAUUGCUGGAGGUCUUUUCUUGUUACCAUGAAAAAGGAAUGGUGAGAAACACGGAAACAUUAGUGAAGACACUACAAAAUGGGAUAAAAACGGAAUGUCCAGUCACUUGAAGCUGUCAUACAGAAUUACUGACAAAACAAAAAGAAAUUGAUCUUGUACCCUAUAAAUACAUGUAUAUAAGAAAUUGAUAGAUGAACUUUGGAACACUUGAUUAUGAUAAAUCUGAUAAUGUGAUAUAAUAGAUUUUAUGAUAAUUAUGAAAUACAAGUAAAAUUAAUAAAAAUAAA